CACUAUCGUUAACUGAAUACAUAGGUUAACGAGGCGAACCGGGGGAACUGAAACAUCUAAGUACCCCGAGGAAAAGAAAUCAACCGAGAUUCCCCCAGUAGCGGCGAGCGAACGGGGAGCAGCCCAGAGUCUGAAUCAGCUUGUGUGUUAGUGGAACGGUCUGGAAAGUCCGACGGUACAGGGUGAUAGUCCCGUACACCAAAAUGCACAGGCUGUGAACUCGAAGAGUAGGGCGGGACACGUGGUAUCCUGUCUGAAUAUGGGGGGACCAUCCUCCAAGGCUAAAUACUCCUGACUGACCGAUAGUGAACCAGUACCGUGAGGGAAAGGCGAAAAGAACCCCGGCGAGGGGAGUGAAAAAGAACCUGAAACCGUGUACGUACAAGCAGUGGGAGCACCUUCGGGUGUGACUGCGUACCUUUUGUAUAAUGGGUCAGCGACUUAUAUUCUGUAGCAAGGUUAACCGUAUAGGGGAGCCGCAGGGAAACCGAGUCUUAACUGGGCGUUAAGUUGCAGGGUAUAGACCCGAAACCCGGUGAUCUAGCCAUGGGCAGGUUGAAGGUUGGGUAACACUAACUGGAGGACCGAACCGACUAAUGUUGAAAAAUUAGCGGAUGACUUGUGGCUGGGGGUGAAAGGCCAAUCAAACCGGGAGAUAGCUGGUUCUCCCCGAAAGCUAUUUAGGUAGCGCCUCGUGAACUCAUCUUCGGGGGUAGAGCACUGUUUCGGCUAGGGGGUCAUCCCGACUUACCAACCCGAUGCAAACUACGAAUACCGAAGAAUGUUAUCACGGGAGACACACGGCGGGUGCUAACGUCCGUCGUGAAGAGGGAAACAACCCAGACCGCCAGCUAAGGUCCCAAAGUCAUGGUUAAGUGGGAAACGAUGUGGGAAGGCACAGACAGCCAGGAUGUUGGCUUAGAAGCAGCCAUCAUUUAAAGAAAGCGUAAUAGCUCACUGGUCGAGUCGGCCUGCGCGGAAGAUGUAACGGGGCUAAACCAUGCACCGAAGCUGCGGCAGCGACACUAUGUGUUGUUGGGUAGGGGAGCGUUCUGUAAGCCUGCGAAGGUGUGCUGUGAGGCAUGCUGGAGGUAUCAGAAGUGCGAAUGCUGACAUAAGUAACGAUAAAGCGGGUGAAAAGCCCGCUCGCCGGAAGACCAAGGGUUCCUGUCCAACGUUAAUCGGGGCAGGGUGAGUCGACCCCUAAGGCGAGGCCGAAAGGCGUAGUCGAUGGGAAACAGGUUAAUAUUCCUGUACUUGGUGUUACUGCGAAGGGGGGACGGAGAAGGCUAUGUUAGCCGGGCGACGGUUGUCCCGGUUUAAGCAUGUAGGCUGAUUGUCCAGGCAAAUCCGGAUAAUCAAGGCUGAGGUGUGAUGACGAGGCACUACGGUGCUGAAGUAACAAAUGCCCUGCUUCCAGGAAAAGCCUCUAAGCAUCAGGUAACAUUAAAUCGUACCCCAAACCGACACAGGUGGUCAGGUAGAGAAUACCAAGGCGCUUGAGAGAACUCGGGUGAAGGAACUAGGCAAAAUGGUGCCGUAACUUCGGGAGAAGGCACGCUGGUGUGUAGGUGAAGUCCCUGCGGAUGGAGCUGAGACCAGUCGAAGAUACCAGCUGGCUGCAACUGUUUAUUAAAAACACAGCACUGUGCAAACACGAAAGUGGACGUAUACGGUGUGACGCCUGCCCGGUGCCGGAAGGUUAAUUGAUGGGGUUAUCCGUAAGGAGAAGCUCUUGAUCGAAGCCCCGGUAAACGGCGGCCGUAACUAUAACGGUCCUAAGGUAGCGAAAUUCCUUGUCGGGUAAGUUCCGACCUGCACGAAUGGCGUAAUGAUGGCCAGGCUGUCUCCACCCGAGACUCAGUGAAAUUGAACUCGCUGUGAAGAUGCAGUGUACCCGCGGCAAGACGGAAAGACCCCGUGAACCUUUACUAUAGCUUGACACUGAACAUUGAGCCUUGAUGUGUAGGAUAGGUGGGAGGCUUUGAAGCGUGGACGCCAGUCUGCGUGGAGCCAACCUUGAAAUACCACCCUUUAAUGUUUGAUGUUCUAACGUUGGCCCCUGACCGGGGUUGCGGACAGUGUCUGGUGGGUAGUUUGACUGGGGCGGUCUCCUCCCAAAGCGUAACGGAGGAGCACGAAGGUUAGCUAAUCCUGGUCGGACAUCAGGAGGUUAGUGCAAUGGCAUAAGCUAGCUUGACUGCGAGCGUGACGGCGCGAGCAGGUGCGAAAGCAGGUCAUAGUGAUCCGGUGGUUCUGAAUGGAAGGGCCAUCGCUCAACGGAUAAAAGGUACUCCGGGGAUAACAGGCUGAUACCGCCCAAGAGUUCAUAUCGACGGCGGUGUUUGGCACCUCGAUGUCGGCUCAUCACAUCCUGGGGCUGAAGUAGGUCCCAAGGGUAUGGCUGUUCGCCAUUUAAAGUGGUACGCGAGCUGGGUUUAGAACGUCGUGAGACAGUUCGGUCCCUAUCUGCCGUGGGCGCUGGAGAAUUGAGGGGGGCUGCUCCUAGUACGAGAGGACCGGAGUGGACGCAUCACUGGUGUUCGGGUUGUCAUGCCAAUGGCACUGCCCGGUAGCUAAAUGCGGAAGAGAUAAGUGCUGAAAGCAUCUAAGCACGAAACUUGCCCCGAGAUGAGUUCUCCCUGAGACU
rnacentral:rRNA from 1 species